GAUGAACGCUGGCGGUAUGCUUAACACAUGCAAGUCGAACGGGGUUCAUAGUCACCUAGUGGCGGACGGGUGAGUAACGCGUGAGAAUCUGGCCUCAGGUCCGGGACAACCACGGGAAACGGUGGCUAAUACCGGAUGUGCCAUAUUGGUGAAAGAUUAAUUGCCUGAGGAUGAGCUCGCGUCUGAUUAGCUAGUUGGUGGGGUAAAGGCUUACCAAGGCGACGAUCAGUAACUGGUCUGAGAGGAUGACCAGUCACACUGGGACUGAGACACGGCCCAGACUCCUACGGGAGACAGCAGUGGGGAAUUUUCCGCAAUGGGCGAAAGCCUGACGGAGCAAUACCGCGUGAGGGAGGAAGGCUCUUGGGUUGUAAACCUCUUUUCUCAGGGAAGAAGAAUGACGGUACCUGAGGAAUCAGCAUCGGCUAACUCCGUG
rnacentral:rRNA from 1 species